rnacentral:piRNA from 1 species
UCCAAACUCUGGAUCCUGUUGUCUGA